AACGAAACUAUGCUAGCACAAUUUAAGCUAAAAUCUAAAUCUAAAUGUGCUAAAUGUGUUUCCGGACAACAAUUUUAAUUAUAUUAAAAAGAAAGUACAUUUGAAUGCUUUUUAGAAUUGAUUUAACUUAUUUUUUAAAGUUCCAAAAGGAAUUAAAUCCAAUUCAAGAUUGAACUCGGUCCGACCCCAGAGAUUAGACGGGUUCAGGUGUGUCCAGGCAAUAGGCAGUGUAAUGGCCAGAGCCAAAGCCCUUCCCAUGAUGCAUCACCACAGCCGAGAGUUCGUAGAGGAAGUGCUUUGGGCGAGGAGAACCCGGGGAGCCGGGACUGCCGGGACCGGAGCAGGAAAGGUCUUUAGGCGGCGAGCCAUCUCUGCAGCAGUAAGGCUCCAUGUCCAGAAGCUGAUCGAAACUCACGUGGACUCCGAUCUUCUCCCGGUGGUUCCGCCCAGACCACCUGGUGGAUGGAUCACAGGCUAAAGCUGCACCUCGCCGGUCUACGUGAAAAUUCCCACAACAGUGUCGUAUUUCUUUGGUGACGCUUCUAGAGGUCUUCGUUGAAGGUUUUCAUUCCUCCAGCUUCAGGAAGGCUGCACACGUUUGAUCUUCCUCACCUUUGACGAGGACAUCAGUGGUCCUUUGAGUUAAAAACGUGCAGCUGAAGAUCGUGGGAACGAGUAAAGAUACAGCACGGAUGAAAAGGAGAAUCAGGAGAACUUUCCGAUCUGCAGGACUCAGAAACGUCUGAGUCUGAGGAAAGGUGAAGUUAGAGCCCCUCAUGGUCUGUCAGGCCCCAGGUCUGCUCUGAACACAUAAUCGCCGUCUUCAUGCCAUAAUGACUCACUGAUGGAUGGCCUAAUGACGCUCCCGGUUUGAACUCGCCUGUGACGCUUCAACCCAGGGAAAAAUGUGGAGGACGAGGCGUCCAGACCCAGAAAUGACAGUCAGUCAGUUCGCUUUCUGCUCAGAAACGCGUCACAGUUUCAGGGAAAACGCUGCCGGCAGCAAAUGGAGAAAAUGUUCUGCACCUCACUUCAACGCAGGUCAGAGGCAGCAGUUAUGUUUUCUCUUCUAUACACAUAAAUGUUUGUAUAUAAACACAACACACUUACAUACAUAGAGAUAUAUUCCUUAUAAUAGAUUAGAGAUAAUACAUGAACUCUUUAUUU